rnacentral:rRNA from 1 species
GACACGACCGUACCGCAAACCGACACUGGUGCGCGAGAUGAGUAUUCUAAGGCGCUUGAGAGAACUCAGGAGAAGGAACUCGGCAAAUUGACACCGUAACUUCGGAAGAAGGUGUGCCUUUAGUAGGUGAAGUCCCUCGCGGAUGGAGCCCAAUGAGGUUGCAAAAAAUCGGUGGCUGCGACUGUUUAUUAAAAACACAGCACUCUGCAAACACGAAAGUGGACGUAUAGGGUGUGACGCCUGCCCGGUGCUGGAAGAUUAAAUGAUGGGGUGCAGCUCUUGAUUGAAGUCCCAGUAAACGGCGGCCGUAACUAUAACGGUCCUAAGGUAGCGAAAUUCCUUGUCGGGUAAGUUCCGACCUGCACGAAUGGCGUAACGAUGGCCACACUGUCUCCUCCUGAGACUCAGCGAAGUUGAAAUGUUUGUGAUGAUGCAAUCUCCCCGCGGAAAGACGGAAAGACCCCAUGAACCUUUACUGUAGCUUUGUAUUGGACUUUGAACAGAUCUGUGUAGGAUAGGUGGGAGGCUUUGAAGCAGGGUCGCUAGAUCUUGUGGAGCCAACGUUGAUAUACCACCCUGGUGUGUUUGAGGUUCUAACCUAGGCCCGUAAUCCGGGUUGGGGACAGUGCAUGGUAGGCAGUUUGACUGGGGCGGUCUCCUCCCAAAGUGUAACGGGGGAGUUCGAAGGUACGCUAGUUACGGUCGGACAUCGUGACGAUAGUGCAAUGGCAUAAGCGUGCUUAACUGCGAGACUGACAAGUCGAGCAGAUGCGAAAGCAGGACAUAGUGAUCCGGUGGUUCUGUAUGGAAGGGCCAUCGCUCAACGGACAAAAGGUACUCUGGGGAUAACAGGCUGAUACCGCCCAAGAGUUCAUAUCGACGGCGGUGUUUGGCACCUCGAUGUCGGCUCAUCUCAUCCUGGGGCUGUAGCCGGUCCCAAGGGUAUGGCUGUUCGCCAUUUAAAGAGGUACGUGAGCUGGGUUUAAAACGUCGUGAGACAGUUUGGUCCCUAUCUUCCGUGGGCGCUGCAGAUUUGAGGAAGCCUGCUCCUAGUACGAGAGGACCGGAGUGGACGCACCUCUGGUGUAUCGGUUGUCACGCCAGUGGCAUUGCCGAGUAGCUAUGUGCGGAAGAGAUAACCGCUGAAAGCAUCUAAGCGGAAAACUCGUUUCAAGAUGAGAUCUGCCGGGGCCUUGAGCCCCCUGAAGAGUCGUUCAAGACCAGGACGUUGAUAGGUCGGGUGUGGAAGCGCAGUAAUGCGUUAAGCUAACCGAUACUAAUUGCUCGUGCGGCUUGACCU